rnacentral:rRNA from 1 species
CACGUAGGGCGCAAGCGUUGUCCGGAAUUAUUGGGCGUAAAGAGCUCGUAGGCGGUUUUGUCGCGUCUGCUGUGAAAACUCAGGGCUUAACCCUGAGCCUGCAGUGGGGUACGGGGCAGACUAGAGUGUGGUAGGGGGAGAUCGGAAUUCCUGGUGGUAGCUGGUGGAAUGCGCAGAUAUCAGGAGGAACACCGGUGGCGAAGGCGGAUCUCUGGGCCAUAACUGACGCUGGAGGAGCGAAAGCAUGGGGAGCA